rnacentral:rRNA from 1 species
UACGUAGGGUGCGAGCGUUGUCCGGAAUUAUUGGGCGUAAAGCGCACGUAGGCGCUUUGUAAGUUGGAUGUGAAAGCCCUCGGCUCAACCAAGGAAGUGCAUCCAAAACUACAAAGCUUGAGUACUUAAGAGGAUCGCGGAAUUCCCGGUGUAGAGGUGAAAUUCGUAGAUAUCGGGAGGAACACCAGUGGCGAAAGCACUCUGCUGGGCCGACACUGACACUGAGAGACGAAAGCUAGGGGAGCGAAUGGG